AGCGCUGCCCGCCCCCACAGCCCAGAGCCGGUCAAGGGGUGACCCGGGCAGGUGUCGUCCUCGGCCAGAUGUGGCGGGGCGCAGCCCGGGCCCUUCGCCGGGAGUGGUGGGCCCCGGGGAGGCCCUGCAGCAAGGGUGGCGGCGCAGCGUCAGCGCCUCGGAGCGCCCCCAGCUGCUGGAACUGCGGAGGCCAGGGGGCGCCCGCGGGCGGAGAUCGACUCUUCUGUCCCGCCUGCCGGGCUCUGCAACCGCCCAGCCCCGAGCCCGACUUCUUCCGCCUCAUGGACUGCGCCCCGUCCUUCACAGUGGACGUCCGGAAUCUGCAGCGCCGGUACCAGGAACUCCAGCGCCUGGUGCACCCCGAUAACUUCAGCCAGAAGUCACAGACUGAAAGGGACUUCUCAGAACAGCAUUCCACACUGGUGAAUGAGGCCUACAAGACCCUGCGUACCCCGAUGAGCCGAGGGCUCUAUCUGCUGAAGCUCAGGGGCUUGGAGAUCUCCGAGGGUACAGACACCAACGUGGACAUGCAGUUUCUCGGAGAAAUCAUGGAAGUCAAUGAGAAGCUUGAAGGAGCUGAGAGUCAGGCUGAAACCAGAGAGAUUGAAGCCUUGGUCAAAGUGUCCCAAGUGUCCAUCCCCCUCCCCCUCCAUGUGACAAAUAGUACUUUUGGAGAGGAAAAAGUCAGCACCACUGAUCAAUCCAUUGAGAAAGUCUGAAAACCUGUGCCACGGGACAGCUGUGGACCUCCCACCUCCAUGAAGGGGCAGGACAGGGGAAGAUUCUCAUCUCUCCUCAUUCUAGUCCCGCAUAAGCAGAAAGAAUUGACCGAAGACGUGAGCCAAGCUUUCGAACAAGGUGAUCUUCAGAAAGCCAAGGAACUUUUAGGAAAAAUGAAAUACUUUGUAAAUUUAGAAGAAAAAGUGAAACUAAAGAAGACACCCUCCUAACUGGGAAUGAUGACUUUAUACUCUCUUCGUUUCCAUUAAAUUAUUGUACAGAUGCUUUU